rnacentral:snRNA from 1 species
GGAUGUGAGGGCGAUCUGGCUCUGACAUCUGUGACAUCUGUCACCCCAUUGAUCGUCAGGGUGGAUUCCACUGAUCUGGCUCGCUGGACAGGUGUCCCCCUCCUCCCUCACUGAUCCAUGUGAGUCCCUCCAGAAGCUGCAAACUCAGUGGAAGAGGACGACCUUUCCCCAGAGGACAGGACUGGUCUUUGGUCAAGGGUAUACAAGUAGCUGAGCUCCCCUGCUAGAUCCUCCAAACAAGCCCUCAAAAAAUAUGGAAAUAAAGUCCUUCUGCCACCAGUAUUUUCUCACGUGCUAUUUCCUGGUCACCAAUGGUAGGUAAUACCAGUGAUG